rnacentral:rRNA from 1 species
CGAACGCUGGCGGCGUGCUUUAUACAUGCAAGUCGAACGAUGAAGUUCCUUCGGGAAUGGAUUAGUGGCGAACGGGUGAGGAACACGUGAGAAACCUGCCUUUCAUUCUGGGAUAACACCGGGAAACCGGUGCUAAAACCGGAUACUCCGUCUUGGCGGCAUCGCCGAGCCGGGAAAAAAUUUUGAUGAAAGAUGGUCUCGCGGCCUAUCAGCUAGUUGGUGAGGUAAUGGCUCACCAAGGCAACGACGGGUAGCCGGCCUGAGAGGGCGACCGGCCACACUGGGACUGAGACACGGCCCAGACUCCUACGGGAGGCAGCAGUAGGGAAUAUUGGGCAAUGGGCGAAAGCCUGACCCAGCGACGCCGCGUGAGGGAUGAAGGUCUUCGGAUUGUAAACCUCUUUCAGUAGGGAAGAAGCGAAAGUGACGGUACCUAAAGAAGAAGCACCGGCUAACUAUGUGCCAGCAGCCGCGGUAAUCUGAUGGCGCGAGG